UGGGGGACCUAGGGGUUGAGGCGUCUGCCUCGGCGCGGGCAGCAGUUGGCUCCCGGCCGCCAAACCAUUGCCUUCUUUGUCAUGUUACAGCCGCAGGAUGGAGAUUUCUUCUUCCCGAGAUCUGAACGGCUCCAUCGUCCCCGCCCAUCCCUGGCCGCCAGCGAGGACUAGGCGCCAGCAGCCACUCUCAGCGGAGAGAGGACGGGCGCCGCGGCCGCGUGAGGGCGGCUCUGGGCGGGCGCGUGACCCUCCCGGUAGGCGGGGCCCCCCUCCCCCUUCGGCCCGGGGUGGAGUCACCAGCUUUUCCUCGGCACGUGGCGGCGGAUGCGCUGUAAAUAGGAGUGACUCUGGGCGGCCACGCUGCGGAGGCAGGGACCGCGCUUUACGAGGCCAAACUGCCCGAACGAGGCCCAGAGAGCUGUGAACACGUGGAAACGAGUACAAAACAAAGGGGACGGGCGUUAAACACACAUCACUUAACCCCGGAAGCAGUUAAUCCUGGGCCCCCAGGCUGACUUGAACUAGAUCUAUCCAGGAAGAGCGCGAGGCGCCGUGGGCGGAACCCGAGAGUUGCCUCUUACUUUGGGGCCUCAGGUUCACCAACUGUAACAUAGACGCCGCGUCUCGUUAUAGAAUCAGCCCUGAGCCUUGGCUGGGCAGUAACACAGACACAUUGUAUAAGUCUGUAAACAAACAGGCACUCUGUGCGGGCUCCAGUAGGAGCGCCGCUUUGGAGCCUGGGGUGGGGUCGCCUUCUGCCCCUUUGACAUCGGCUAGACUCUAAGAUGUUCCUGAAACAAGUUUCCACAGUCACAAGGCUGGGAAAGUUACUCAGCCCAUGGGACGGAGGGGUGGUGAGUCAGAAGAACAUGAGGUACAGGGAACUGGCCUGGCCGCCUCCGCUGGAACACUCAGAAUCCACCCUUUGCUUCCUGCCUCCCCAGAGCUACCUCUUUGGGGAGCAGGAGCCCAGUGGGUGCCAAUCCUUCCGUGGGCUGCUGACCGCGAAACCCAGGAGACUGGAACCCACACUUGCUUUCAGACUCAUCGGUGCUCCUGGAGCCGGAAAGUAGAAGAGAAGCUGCAGGAAGUCACCACGCCCUGGAAGGAAAAAUCCUCCAGCACCGAGAGAGAACGUGUACGGGCAGGAGCUUUCUGAAGUGCAAAUACGGUCACGUCCAUCCUCUACUUAAAAUCCUUUGAUGACCAAACAUCUUCUGCAGAAUAAAGUCCAGAUUAUGGCAAUCAAGGCCCUUCAGAGUGAGGUUUCUGCUACCUCUUCAGCUUUAUCUGCUAUUCCUUUAACCUGCACCACAGUAUUGGUUUUCCUGAAUGCACCAUUCUUUCUCCCUAUCUUACUUGCUAUUCCUGCUACUGGGAAUGCCUUCCCUGCCCUCAUUUGCCUAGGAUACUCCAUGUCUUCAAAAUUCAGCUCAAACACCUCCAAGGAGACUCCCUGAUCUCCACUGGCUUGGAUUUGGGUGUCUCACCUCUGAUCCCACAGCCUGCUCGUGUCCGUCCUAUGACACUGAACACAGACUUCUGACUCAAGACUUCUUGGCUCUUGUCCCCACUAGACUGUGAGUUGCUGAAAGGCAGGAGCUGCCUGGCUCCUCUCUAUAUCCCCAGUGCCUAACAGGAUUUCACAGAGUACGUGCUUAAUGCACGUUUGCUGCAUUUCAGACAGAAGAAUGACAUAAAGAUACAAAGGAUCUAUCCAGGAAUGGAGUGGGCUGCCUGGCCAGUCCAGAGUCCAAGGGCUGUGCAGCAGGGAUGUGUGGGCUCAGCCUGGAAAAGAGGUUAUAUUGGUUCUUUGACGGCCCUGGGAGCCAGGCUGAGGCGUUGGGAUUUCACGUGGUAUGGUGAGCAGUGGAGAACCCUGAGGUGCUAGAUGAUCAGAUCUGUGCCAAAGACAGGAGGAUGGAUUGGAGAAGGGGGGGGGCAGGGAUUAGAGAAAACAGGCGGCUACUGGCUCUGCUUAGUCAAUGAAACAGCAGCUUGGGGAGAUCAUGACCCUCGGGGCCACACAGCUGUUAAGUGGCAGAACUAGGAGCCGAACCAGUUCUGGACUACGUCAAGUCCAAAGAUCUACCUCACCACAGGGUUAUCAGCAGAUGGGGCUUCAAGGUUGUCCAAGUGCGAAUGGAUAAUCCAUUAGUCAGGAUAGGAUAGGUUCUAUUGCAGGCACAACACCCAGACCUCUGUGGCUUAAGACGUUUUCUGUUCACACAGUCCCCUGUGUGCUGGGCACCUUGAGUCAGCUUAGCCUUCCAGGCUGCUCUGAGGUGCGUCCAUAGUUCCCACGACAGGGAGAGCACUUGGAGAACCAUGUACCAGCUUUAUUCCGGAAGUUUUAUUGGACACACAUACCAACCAUGAUUCAAUGUGAGAGGACCACACAAGGGUAUGAGAACCGCACGGAGGUCACUGGAUGUCACCUUGGAGACUGCCACCACAGGUGUCUUCCUAAGCACCUUCUGCUCAGCUGUCUGUCAGCUCUGCUCCAGCUGAGGGAGAAGCCAGGUGAAGUUUGCCAUGACCCUGGGAGGGAGGCAGAUCACCGCAGUGUGCAGAUGAGGAAACUCAAGGCACAAAGACCUUCUGCAGUUUGCCUCACUCCAUGUGCUCUUGCACCAACCUGCACAGGCAGCAACCAAAGCAUUGGCUGUGCAGUGUGGAUUUUAGGCAUUUGUAAGCCCACCUCUCUCACUGUAUGUUGGCCUCUCACACUCCAUCUUUGCCUGUGCAGCACCUAGCAUGGGCAUGGUACAGAGAAGUGGCCAAAUGUGUUAGCCAAGCCUUGCGCACUUCCCUCCAUAGCCCCUGCACCAGCCCAAAGCAUAGCCGUGCAGGGUGUGGGGAGGCAGGAUUGAGAGUCACCUGCCCCUAAGGGCACCAGGUGGGAGGCCCUCUGGGAUCUGUGAGGAGGGUAGGGAGAGGCACCCUGGCACUGUUAGGUGCUUCAAAAGGGAGGGGAAGGGCAGAUGCCCCUACUGGCGUGAGCUCCGUGGGACCCCUGUGAAGGUGGACUUCACCUGUGCCUAACCUAGCACCUGGGCAAGUUCCUGCCAUGGGACAGUUCUCCGCCGUCGAAGAUUCUCUACCGUGCGGCUCCCUCACUGCACACCAUCCUGCUGCUGACCAGGCCUUGAGUGGAACUUCUUUCUCUUGUAUCCCACGAAUCCUCCUAUGACUCCUAACAGGGCAACCCUCCCUAGUUCUGGGGCUGCCUCUGCUUCUGACAGAGCACCUGGGAGAAAAUCUCAUCUGGAACCCCACGACAGCCACCUGAAAGUGCCGCCCCGAAGGCUCCCGCCACUCCUCCCCGCUGCCGCUGCCGUGAUGCUUGGCCUCUGACCCGGGUGGGGCCACACAGCCCCUCCUUCCCUCCUCAGCCCACCGCCCCAGAGAAACCAGAACCCAAGCCAAAGUAUCAGAAACGUGUAUUCUUUUUCUUUUAAUAGUAAACCUCUUUACAACAAAUAUAGUGAAAGAGUUUUCAAACAAAACUCAUAAGAAUCUCGAGGACUUUGUCUUUCUUAUUGUGUAGAAUACUAAGAAAGCAUCACCAUACAGCACAAAAAGAAAUAUUGAAAACAAAUCAACAGCCACACACUUGGACUCGCCCUGCCCAGGACCCAGGAGGAGCCCCAGGAGUGUGGGUGAUUGUCGGGUUUGGGGGUGAGGCACCUCCGUGCCCUGUCCCCUUCCUCCCUCUGGGACUUGAGUGGGGAAGACAGAGAGAAUCCAGAUUCUCCAUAUAACAUUCCAGCGCCCCUCCCCCAAUACAAAUCCCAUUCCUUCUACCAACUGGUUAGAGGGUGGAGAGAGGUGGCAGAGGAAGAACAGAGGAGUUCCCAGGCUCCAUGUCUCCUCCCCUCCGUGAAAGCCUAAAUCCAUGCCCCGCCCCACCCCAGGGGAUUCCAAAGAGUCAGUUAAAAAUAUAUAGAUAUAGAUAUUUCUAGAUACACUUUUACAUCAUUUCUGUCUCUCCAAACAAAUAAAUAAUCAGCAAGAGAAGGUGCAUUACUUCCUUCCUGUCCAAGGUGGGGAGGGCUGGGUGAGGGUCAGGGGUCAGUCUCGUUGUACUGAGUGCACUACGGGGAAAGAGGAAAUGGUGUUCCACUGGGGUGGGUGGGGGGCCCUCUUGCCCACUGUCCCUGAAAGCUGUGGGAAACCUGGGGAGGGGAGGAGCAUUGGAUGACUCCAGUGAUUACUUUGGCAAAUGCCCAGUUAUUCAGAGGAAGGAGUGGGUGGAGGCAAAUUUGGCUUGUGAGAGGAGGGAAAGAUGAAGUCUGCACUUGAGGUCUGGGUUCCCAGGGACCCUUCUUCUGGCCGGCCAGGAGCCCCUACCCCCAAGAGAACUCUUGGGAUACUGAAUUGCAGAAAUGUCACACAUUCAUUCACAAAUCACCCCCUGCCCCCAGGGAUAGAGAAGAAAGGACACACACACAUCCACACAUGGUAAUCAAAAGCCAGGUUUGCCAUUACAAAGCAGAGGGCAAAACUGGUAAAUAUUGCACCGUGAACUGCAGGGGCCCUCACCCCCACCCCGUGUUUAAUGGUGGCCAACCUCAGCUUAGAAAGGUGGACAGACCCAUGGCGGGAACAGCCUGAGAAGGGAUGGCCAGUCGUUCAAUGUUGAUUGAGCACCCAUCAUUCAUUCACCGUUCACUCAUUCAGCAUUUAUUGAGUGCCAGGCACUGGGCAAGGCUCUGGGAAUGCACACCCACACGAGACUACAUCCUCCUCUUUCAUGGCCCUGAUCAAGUCUCAUCUAUUCUUGAAACUCCCUCUAGGAACCUGCAGGAAGACUGGCCAUGCUGUGUGCCCAGCCAGCAGGUGGGGUUAAGGUGUGAGGACGAUGGUUCACUAUCAGGUGAGGAAAAAGCUUCAGGGAGGAAGAAGGAGCUUGAGGGUCACCCUGAAAGGACUGGGGCGAGGGAAGAGUGUACUCCAGGGAAGGGGCUGUAAAGGUGUGGGUACUGGGCAGACAACUGUGCGUGGAGCCUGGGAGAGGCAGGGUGGCAAGGAGGGCCAACUGCUAGAUCCUUUCUGACGGGAGGACAAAAAUAUCAGAGCUGAGGGUGAGAACAGGUGAAGGAGCAGGCCAGAAGGGAGCGGGGCUCAGGGAGGAGGGUCACGGAGCUGGAAGCCAGGGUUAUGUGGCUGCAACAGCCACCUGUCCCUCUGUAAACACAUACCCAGGCACGUGCUCACACACACGCACGCACAGAUGCCCUCAGAGCUUAAUUCGCACAAAGAUUCAUGUGUAUGCCCAGACAGGCUAGGAGACCCACAAAGCCACACACACACACAUACAUACAAAGGAAUACUUGGACAUACAAACACUAGAUGCCCUUGGGAAUACACUCAGGUACAUGUGCAGCCACAUGGCCCCCUCUGCUUCUGGUUCCUUCCCUGCCUCGUGUUGGAAUACUGCAAGUGGCUGGGUCCUACAGGUGGGCAAAGAUAGUCACCUGGCACAAACUGGGCCUGGUCUACUCUGCUUUCCCACCAGGAUGAAACCCCAAGGGAGUGCUACACCCCUGGGGCAGAGGAGCUGGGCUUAUGUGAAGGAGUCUGCCUGCCCACGCACGUUAGGGUGAGGGGUGGUGUGAUCACGGGCGUGGGGCCUGCCCCCUCCAGUUUGACCUGUCAUCCAGCCUGAGGUCUCAGGACCUGGGGAGGUGCAGAGAGAGGCAGACUGGGGGCUGGAGGAGGGGAGCAAGAACAACAGCAGAAGAACCUCACCUGUACAGUACGGGCGUUUGAGUCAUUAUUAUUACAAUAUACUUUGACAAAAAUAGAAUCUCAUUUCAUAUCAAUACAACAACAACAACAACAAAAAACAGUUUCCUGGACUGUUACACUGCUAACUUUUCCAAAGGUUGCUAUUUACAAUUACAGUAGCCAAGAGGGAAGGUGGGAUACGGCCUGGGGGUGGUGGGGCAGGAGGUAGCCAGACAAUGAGGGCGCCAAGAGCACGGAGGUGGGGUCUGGAGCCGAUCCGGGGCGCAGGAGCAGGAGCUGGGAGGAGGGCUGGGGAGAAGGGACAAGGAGGAAAGAAGGGAGGCAGGCCUCUGCAGACCUCCAGUCCCCUUUCCCAUCCUCUCACCCAUCCCAACAUCCACUCCUCUGGGAAUAUGUACGUGCAAGGAAGAGCAAGUCCCCUCACUCACACUCGCCCCUGGAUGCAAGGGUUCCGUCCUCAGGCAUCCCGAAGUGACGAGACCCGCUCCCACCGAGUCACCUCACUCAAGUUCCUCUCCCCAGUUCUCCCCGCACGUUGUGGCCAGCUUUACUGGGCUGGUGUCCACCGAGGGCUGGGGAGCUAUUGCACUGUGUCUUAGAGAAAACGCUGGGAAAGGGAAGGGAUGCUGACUCACGCCUUGUCCCAGCCCUGUCCCUCCUCAGCCUUCUCUCUCCUCAUGGCUCUUUCUCUCCAAAUGUGCUUCAGAGGGGCGCUCCCUCACAGCCUCCCGCAGCCUCAGAUUCCUAGGCAGCCUUCCCAGCCCAAAAGCUCGGCCAGCUCCCCCGCACCUCGCAGGUGCAGCUCACACAGAACCAGUGAGCGAGUGCUGUGUGUGCAGGGGCAUGUGGGGCCAGGCUUGGGCAUUCUGCCCCGUAUGCCUGUGGCCGCAGGAACAGCCCAGAGGCAGAAACCCUUGACAGAGCCUCUUCCUCGCUUUCCCCUGAAACACAAACCCACCGUCAAGUCAACUUUGGGGUUUCAGUCUAUUGUAAGGGUUUUGUUGUUUGGUAGUUUUUUUGGUUAUUUCCCACUAUCUGGGGGGCGGGGUGGGAGGGUCCGCAUGCAGGGCUCGGCACCUGUCCUUUCCCAAAGGCCCCCUGGCCUCCCCCCCUCCUGCAGCAUAUGUGUACAA